UCAGUGGAAUUACUGUGAAUUUGGGUCAAGGACCUGAGUAAGCAGGGAAAGGCUCAUUUAUCACCAGAGAAGGGUAAUUCAGUUAUGACUCAGGAUCCCUGGCUCUGUAGCUACUUGGGGGAGAAGGAUAGAAGAAACGUAGCUCUGCAGACUUUUCAUUAGAUCCAAAUGGGGCCAGAAGUAGAAGAUGGAAGAAGGACAUAAUAAGGACCUGCAUGCUGAUGGAGAGACCUGGCUAUGGAGUUGUAGGGAAAUUACUAAAGGACUGCACAGUAUUUCCCAUGGUCUUUGUGAAGCCUUGGAAUUGCUAUCUGCCAGUGGACUACGUUUCACCAAACCUAAUGACCUGCAGUGGGAGUUUACUGCUCGCUUCUACCUUGGACAGCAGUAGCACCGGUGAACCCAAGUGGUCAGCAUUUAUGGUACCCCUGACUCUGCCUUUGAAAUACAUAUUUUUUUGAAUUUAGUUUUGCCUGAAAAAAAAUGCAUCCAAUUUGAAUGAAAUUGAAUAUGUUUCAGGGCUCAAGCAGCAUGUCUUCCAUCUGAAGCAAAAUGGAGAUGAAUUUCAAUUAGAUGUUCCCAUUAUAAUCUGUCUCCACCUGUAGUUUUCAUCAAAAUUGCUGGGAAGUGUGAUAUAAUGUAUGAUCGGGAUUUGCCCACUGGCAGCAGUGUACCAUUAUCUUAGUA